rnacentral:rRNA from 1 species
AUUGAACGCUGGCGGCAGGCCUAACACAUGCAAGUCGAACGAGUGGCGGACGGGUGAGUAAUGUCUGGGAAACUGCCCGAUGGAGGGGGAUAAAUACUGGAAACGGUAGCUAAUACCGCAUACCAUCGGAUGUGCCCAGCUGGGAUUAUCUAGUAGGUGGGGUAACGGCUCACCUAGGCGACGAUCACUAGCUGGUCUGAGAGGAUGAACAGCAACACGGGAACUGAGAGACGGGCCAGACUACUACGGGAGGCAGCAGUGGGGAAUAUGGCACAAUGGGCGCAAGCCUGAUGCAGCCAUGCCGCGUGUAUGAAGAAGGCCUUCGGGUUGUAAAGUACUGUCAGCGAGGAGGCGUUACUCGCAGAAGAAGCACCGGCUAACUCCGUGCCAGCAGCCGCGGUAAUAC